rnacentral:rRNA from 1 species
UACGUAGGGGGCUAGCGUUGUCCGGAAUCAUUGGGCGUAAAGAGCGUGUAGGCUGCUCGGUAAAGUCCGCUGUAAAAAGUCAAAGGCUCAACCUUUGAAUGUCAGUGGAUACUGCCGGGCUAGAGUCCGGAAGAGGCGAGUGGAACUCCUGGUGUAGCGGUGGAAUGCGCAGAUAUCAGGAAGAACACCAACGGCGAAGGCAGCUCUGGGACGGUACUGACGCUGAGACGCGAAAAGCGUGGGGGGAGCGAACAGG